rnacentral:sRNA from 1 species
GCUGGGCAUGAUGGCAUAUGCCUGUAAUCCCAGUGGCUCAGGAGGCUGAGGCAGGAGGAUCAUGAGUUCAAAGCCAGCCUCAGCAACUUAGUUAGGUCCUAAGCAACUUAGCAAGACCCUGUCUCAA